rnacentral:rRNA from 1 species
UGCGUAGGCGGCUUUGCAAGUCAGAUGUGAAAUCUAUGGGCUCAACCCAUAAACUGCAUUUGAAACUGUAGAGCUUGAGUGAAGUAGAGGCAGGCGGAAUUCCCCGUGUAGCGGUGAAAUGCGUAGAGAUGGGGAGGAACACCAGUGGCGAAGGCGGCCUGCUGGGCUUUAACUGACGCUGAGAUGCGAAACGCCGAGGGUAGCGGAACG